rnacentral:rRNA from 1 species
AUUGAACGCUGGCGGCAGGCUUAACACAUGCAAGUCGAGCGGUAACAGAGAGAAGCUUGCUUCUCUGCUGACGAGCGGCGGACGGGUGAGUAAUGCCUAGGAAUCUGCCUAGUAGUGGGGGAUAACUUGCCGAAAGGUAAGCUAAUACCGCAUACGUCCUACGGGAGAAAGGAGGGGACCUUCGGGCCUUUCGCUAUUAGAUGAGCCUAGGUCGGAUUAGUUAGUUGGUGAGGUAAUGGCUCACCAAGACCGCGAUCCGUAACUGGUCUGAGAGGAUGAUCAGUCACACUGGAACUGAGACACGGCCCAGACUCCUACGGGAGGCAGCAGUGGGGAAUAUUGGACAAUGGGGGGAACCCUGAUCCAGCCAUGCCGCGUGUGUGAAGAAGGUCUUAGGAUUGUAAAGCACUUUAAGUUGGGAGGAAGAGCAGUUAACUAAUAUUUGACUGUUUUGACGUUACCGACAGAAUAAGCACCGGCUAACUUCGUG